rnacentral:rRNA from 1 species
UUCGGUUGAAGUCACGAGUGGAAAGCGGCGGACGGGUGAGUAACGCGUGAGCAACCUGCCUCAUACAGGGGGAUAACAGUUAGAAAUGACUGCUAAUACCGCAUAAGCGCACAGGACCGCAUGGUCAAGUGUGAAAAACUGAGGUGGUAUGAGAUGGACCCGCGUCUGAUUAGCUAGUUGGUGAGGUAAGGGCUCACCAAGGCAACGAUCAGUAGCCGACCUGAGAGGGUGACCGGCCACAUUGGGACUGAGACACGGCCCAAACUCC